rnacentral:rRNA from 1 species
UUGAAACAAACUUGCUUUGGCGGUGGGCCCAGCCUGCCGCCAGAGGUCUAAACUUACAACCAAUUUUUUAUCAACUUGUCACACCAGAUUAUUACUUAAUAGUCAAAACUUUCAACAACGGAUCUCUUGGUUCUCGCAUCGAUGAAGAACGCAGCGAAAUGCGAUACGUAAUAUGAAUUGCAGAUAUUCGUGAAUCAUCGAAUCUUUGAACGCACAUUGCGCCCUCUGGUAUUCCGGAGGGCAUGCCUGUUUGAGCGUCGUUUCUCCCUCAAACCGCUGGGUUUGGUGUUGAGCAAUACGACUUGGGUUUGCUUGAAAGACGGUAGUGGUAAGGCGGGAUCGCUUUGACAAUGGCUUAGGUCUAACCAAAAACAUUGCUUGCGGCGGUAACGUCCACCACGUAUAUCUUCAAACUUUGACCUCAAAUCAGGUAGGACUACCCGCUGAACUUAAGCAUAUCAAUAAGCGGAGGAAUGGAUC